UAGUGAGACUACGUAAAAUUGCUCUCGGUUGCAUGUUCUUCAGUUUAGAAGUAUUGAGCAAAUAAUAUGCGAACAAUAAUUUGAUUGAAAGAACUAUGAAUUGCAUCCUAUUUUUUCUUCCUUAUUCCGUCAGCUAUGUCGACUAUCCAAAAGAUGCCUGCAGUUUUAAAAAAUAUAUUUCGCAUUGUCUAUGGAUAAACUUGCCUAAUUCGAAUAUGAACUUGGUAAUUUGUUGCUUUAUUUCUACUGGAGACGAAAUGGACGAAAGAUGAGCGAUGCAAGUUGCCCUUCAAGUUUAAAUUGACUUGUUCUGAACAAGAACUGUUAUCCUAGAUCCAACUAGGAUGAGCGAAUCACAGCCGACCUGAUUUUAAAUAUGCAUGGCUGGAAUUGGAUAUUUACCACACUUGAAGACUUCUGUUCGAAUUUGAAUAUCCACGUUGCCUACCCAACAUCCUUCCUACGAUUGCAUUGUUUAGGAGGCAUUGGAACUUUGACAAGCAGUCCUGAAUCUUGGUUCGAUCUGAAUUCCACGUCUUUGGCCAUGUUCCGUGAGCGAGGGCAAACUGAAUUGAUGCUAGUCAACUUUGGGUGAUAUACGAAGUUUUCUUUAAUAUUAUAAAAGAUUUUAAUUUGUUCACUAUUCCAAGGAUCUUGUAUUAUCUAAGCAACAUUUUUUACUAUUGAAUAUUUAAAAACUGAAAUUCUUCACCUGCAGUUGUCAGUAUGGAUGAGAAUAUGAAACUUUUCUUAAUUGCAGAACUUAACUGCUUCAAUAAAUCCUCGCAAGUAAAAUAUGAGGAUUCAUAGCUUUAUUACUCAAAACUAGUACGUAAUAUUGGCGGGUCUAUGCUUGAAAAUCUAUUCUAGGCCAUAUUUUAUAUUAAAAUGUAUAAUUUCAGUUCCGACUUUGGAUAAUACAUUUUAAGAAAAAAUAAUUGACCUGUUUUGCGAGACUUAACAAGAAUUUUCCGAUUACCCUUGGAUAACGAGUUGUAUACAUAUAUUUUAGCAGAAUUAGAUCCUGAUUUGGCUAUUGAUCACCGGAAUUCUCCAGACCUCUUGCAUUGUUCUAACACUGUAGUUAGACGUAUACCAACUUUAAGUGCAAAUAUUUAUUGCUUCAUUUUCAGUUAAAUAAACUACAUUUCAAAAUCAAAAUAUAUUUUGAUUAGUUUAAGAUAUACAUCGUAUAUCAGUGAAAGUGCACCACAUUUAAUUAGUAGGAUCUAUUACUACAAAAUGAUUUUGUAUUAAGUAGUUCUAUGCUGACACUAGUUACGCAAAUAUUACAUUGAACUAUGGAGCUCAAGUAAGAAUGAGACGGAUGUAUCAUGGCCAUUGACUAUUAAGCUUCCAGCAAGAAUAGUUGAAAAUAUUUUGAAGUCGUAUUAGGGCCAUUAAUGAAUUUAGCAGCCUAGAAUUUUGGUUAGCAUUAGUUUAAACAACCUUGAAAUUUAGUUAAUAUUUAGAUUAUAGUUAGAUUUAUGAUUUCGAAAUAUCAUAGGUGAAGAUUAUUUCAUAAUUCUAGAAAUAUCGGCGUUAAAUAACUAGAAAUUAAGUAUUUCAACUGUCCAGUAAGAUGGGAAUCUUCAGAUUUCUUUAAAUUUUAAUAUUAAAAGUAUAAUGCCAAGCUUCUUUAUAAAGGAUGUCAAACGGUUCGCGCACUUAAUAUGCUUUAAUAAUUACUUCUAUAUUUCUAUAAUUACGUAAGAG